CGGGGUGUAGCGCAGCUUGGUAGCGCGACCGGUUUGGGGCCGGUAGGUCGCAGGUUCAAGUCCUGUCACCCCGACCA
rnacentral:tRNA from 1 species